AUAAACAUAUUUGUGCUUUUUAGAAAGUUAGAAGCUUUCUUAGGAUAUUUCUUU
rnacentral:tRNA from 1 species